rnacentral:lncRNA from 1 species
GUCCCCAUUCAAAUGCAUUUGUCGUCCAAAAAAAGGGAGGUUCCAACCCCCAGAGCCCUCCCCCUGUAUCCGCCACAGUCAGAUAAUGCCAUACAUGCAUUAUCAAGUUUAAGUUUGUUUACCUUUUUUCUUUUUCUUUUCAAUUUUAGGAGUUUUUGGCCAUCAUGUAAAGAGGAUAAUCAACUAUUAACUUUAAAAUCUAGAAAAUCA